rnacentral:rRNA from 1 species
UAGGGAAUCUUCCGCAAUGGACGCAAGUCUGACGGAGCAACGCCGCGUGAGUGAAGAAGGAUUUCGGUUCGUAAAACUCUGUUGUUAGAGAAGAACAGCGCAUAGAGUAACUGUUAUGCGUGUGACGGUAUCUAACCAGAAAGCCACGGCUAACUACGUGCCAGCAGCCGCGGUUAUACGUAGGUGGCAAGCGUUGUCCGGAUUUAUUGGGCGUAAAGCGAGCGCAGGCGGUCAAUUAAGUCUGAUGUGAAAGCCCCCGGCUCAACCGGGGAGGGUCAUUGGAAACUGGUUGACUUGAGUGCAGAAGAGGAGAGUGGAAUUCCAUGUGUAGCGGUGAAAUGCGUAGAUAUAUGGAGGAACACCAGUGGCGAAGGCGACUCUCUGGUCUGUAACUGACGCUGAGGCUCGAAAGCGUGGGUAGCAAACAGG